GUUUUGGCACGCAAAAAAGAUCGAAAGCGGAUUCUCAGGGUGUUUUUGAUGCUUUCUGAACGCCAUUAACCUCGACGCACUUUUUCGCUCGAAACAAAAUGGCAAGAAAAUCAUGUGGGUCCCACGGCCUCACACUUGGAUUGGCUGCGAAAAGGAUAUGUAGAAACGAGAGUGAUGUACUGACGGGUGCGAUCAUACCAGCACUAAUGCACCGGAUCCCAUCAGAACUCCGCAGUUAAGCGUGCUUGGGCGAGAGUAGUACUAGGAUGGGUGACCUCCCGGGAAGUCCUCGUGUUGCACCCCUUUUUAUUUUUUAAUUUUUUUUAAUGCAUCCUAAGACGAGUCUAAACUUGGAAACCUCAUAACUUUUGAACCGUGAGGAACUACGUCGCCCAUAGCACCAUUUCGGAAAGCCCCAGAAACCAUAAUGGGCGGUGAAUAGGCGGCGCCAAUUUUUCGGGCUCAAAUUCAGCCGUUUUGACCCUCAAACGGGCUGCGGAAAGUUUUGGCACGCAAAAAAGAUCGAAAGCGGAUUCUCAGGGUGUUUUUGAUGCUUUCUGAACGCCAUUAACCUCGACGCACUUUUUCGCUCGAAACAAAAUGGCAAGAAAAUCAUGUGGGUCCCACGGCCUCACACUUGGAUUGGCUGCAAAAAGGAUAUGUAGAAACGAGAGUGAUAUACUGACGGGUGCGAUCAUACCAGCACUAAUGCACCGGAUCCCAUCAGAACUCCGCAGUUAAGCGUGCUUGGGCGAGAGUAGUACUAGGAUGGGUGACCUCCCGGGAAGUCCUCGUGUUGCACCCCUUUUUAUUUUUUAAUUUUUUUUAAUGCAUCCUAAGACGAGUCUAAACUUGGAAACCUCAUAACUUUUGAACCGUGAGGAACUACGUCGCCCAUAGCACCAUUUCGGAAAGCCCCAGAAACCAUAAUGGGCGGUGAAUAGGCGGCGCCAAUUUUUCGGGCUCAAAUUCAGCCGUUUUGACCCUCAAACGGGCUGCGGAAAGUUUUGGCACGCAAAAAAGAUCGAAAGCGGAUUCUCAGGGUGUUUUUGAUGCUUUCUGAACGCCAUUAACCUCGACGCACUUUUUCGCUCGAAACAAAAUGGCAAGAAAAUCAUGUGGGUCCCACGGCCUCACACUUGGAUUGGCUGCGAAAAGGAUAUGUAGAAACGAGAGUGAUGUACUGACGGGUGCGAUCAUACCAGCACUAAUGCACCGGAUCCCAUCAGAACUCCGCAGUUAAGCGUGCUUGGGCGAGAGUAGUACUAGGAUGGGUGACCUCCCGGGAAGUCCUCGUGUUGCACCCCUUUUUAUUUUUUAAUUUUUUUUAAUGCAUCCUAAGACGAGUCUAAACUUGGAAACCUCAUAACUUUUGAACCGUGAGGAACUACGUCGCCCAUAGCACCAUUUCGGAAAGCCCCAGAAACCAUAAUGGGCGGUGAAUAGGCGGCGCCAAUUUUUCGGGCUCAAAUUCAGCCGUUUUGACCCUCAAACGGGCUGCGGAAAGUUUUGGCACGCAAAAAAGAUCGAAAGCGGAUUCUCAGGGUGUUUUUGAUGCUUUCUGAACGCCAUUAACCUCGACGCACUUUUUCGCUCGAAACAAAAUGGCAAGAAAAUCAUGUGGGUCCCACGGCCUCACACUUGGAUUGGCUGCGAAAAGGAUAUGUAGAAGCGAGAGUGAUGUACUGACGGGUGCGAUCAUACCAGCACUAAUGCACCGGAUCCCAUCAGAACUCCGCAGUUAAGCGUGCUAGAGUAGUGGGUGACCUCCCGGGAAGUCCUCGUGUUGCACCCCUUUUUAUUUUUUAAUUUUUUUUAAUGCAUCCUAAGACGAGUCUAAACUUGGAAACCUCAUAACUUUUGAACCGUGAGGAACUACGUCGCCCAUAGCAC
rnacentral:lncRNA from 1 species